UACAGAGGGUGCGAGCGUUGUCCGGAUUUACUGGGCGUAAAGAGCGUGUAGGCGGCCAAGCAGGUCCGUUGUGAAAACUGGAGGCUCAACCUCCAGACGUCGACAGAAACCGCGUGGCUAGAGUCCGGAAGAGGAGAGUGGAAUUCCUGGUGUAGCGGUGAAAUGCGCAGAUAUCAGGAAGAACACCAAUGGCGAAGGCAGCUCUCUGGGACGGUACUGACGCUGAGACGCGAAAGCGUGGGGAGCGAACAGG
rnacentral:rRNA from 1 species